rnacentral:rRNA from 1 species
CAGUCGCCGCGGGAAUACGGAGGGUGCAAGCGUUAAUCGGAAUUACUGGGCGUAAAGCGCACGCAGGCGGUCUGACAAGUCAGAUGUAAAAUCCCCGGGCUCAACCUGGGAACUGCAUUUGAAACUGGCAAGCUAGAGUCUCGUAGAGGGGGGUAGAAUUCCAGGUGUAGCGGUGAAAUGCGUAGAGAUCUGGAGGAAUACCGGUGGCGAAGGCGGCCCCCUGGACAAAGACUGACGCUCAGGUGCGAAAGCGUGGGGAGCAAACAGGAUUAGAUACCCCUGUAGUCCCUGUCUCUUAUAC